CCCAGACUCCUACGGGAGGCAGCAGUGGGGAAUCUUCCGCAAUGGGCGAAAGCCUGACGGAGCAACGCCGCGUGAUCGAAUGAAGGCCUUCGGGUUGUAAAGAUCUGUUGACAGGGACGAAUAAGCAAUGCGAAUAGUUUUGUGUAUGACGGUACCUGUUUAGAAAGCUCCGGCUAACUACGUGCCAGCAGCCGCGGUAAUACGUAGGGAGCAAGCGUUAUCCGGAAUUAUUGGGUGUAAAGGGUGCGUAGACGGGAUAACAAGUUGGUUGUGAAACCCCUCGGCUCAACUGAGGAACUGCAACCAAAACUAUUAUUCUUGAGUGCAGGAGAGGAAAGUGGAAUUCCUAGUGUAGCGGUGAAAUGCGUAGAUAUUAGGAGGAACACCAGUGGCGAAGGCGGCCUGCUGGGCUUUAACUGACGCUGAGGCUCGAAAGCGUGGGUAGCAAACAGGAUUAGAUCCCCCCGUA
rnacentral:rRNA from 1 species